rnacentral:rRNA from 1 species
GACGAACGCUGGCGGUAUGCUUAACACAUGCAAGUCGAACGAGACGAGUUGGAAGUGCUUGCACGGAAAUCUUAGAAAGUGGCGAACGGGUGAGUAACGCGUGGGUAACCUGCCCUAUGGAAAGGAAUAGCCUCGGGAAACUGGGAGUAAUGCCUUAUAAGAUACAUUUGUCGCAUGGCAGAAGUAUUAAACGCUCCGGUGCCAUAGGAUGGACCCGCGUCCCAUUAGCUAGUUGGUGAGAUAACAGCCCACCAAGGCGACGAUGGGUAACCGGUCUGGGAGGGCGAACGGUCACACUGGAACUGAGACACGGUCCAGACUCCGACGGGAGGCAGCAGUGGGGAAUAUUGCGCAAUGGGGGCAACCCUGACGCAGCAAUACCGCGUGAGUGAAGAAGGUUUUCGGAUCGUAAAGCUCUGUUAUUGGGGAAGAAAAAAGACGGUACCCAAGAAGAAAGUCCCGGCUAACUACGUGCCAGCAGCCGCCGUAAAAC